rnacentral:rRNA from 1 species
GAUGAGCGCUGGCGGCGUGCCUAACACAUGCAAGUCGAACGCGCCUUCGGGCGAGUGACGGACUGGUGAGUAACGCGUUGGUACCUGUCCUCUAGUGGGGAAUAACUCCGGGAAACCGGGGCUAAUACCGCAUGUGGUCUUCGGAUCAAAGCCGCAAGGCGCUAGAGGAGGGGCCUGCGUCCGAUUAGCUAGUUGGUAGGGUAAUGGCCUACCAAGGCGACGAUCGGUAGCUGGAUCGAGAGGUCGACCAGCCACAGCUGGACUGAGAUAUGGCCAGCACUCCUACGGGAGGCAGCAGUGAGGAAUCUUCCGCAAUGGACGCAAGUCUGACGGAGCAACGCCGCGUGGAGGAAGACGGUCUUCGGAUUGUAAACUCCUUUUGUACGGGAAGAUUAUGACGGUACCGUGCGAAUAAGGAUCGGCUAACUACGUGCCAGCAGCCGCGGUAAUACGUAGGAUCCAAGCGCUAUCCGGAUUUACUGGCGUAAAGCGUGAGGU